rnacentral:rRNA from 1 species
CUCCGACAUGACGCAUGUCGUGUCGGGAAAGAUUCAUCGGUAUGGGAUGGGGUCGCGUCCUAUCAGCUUGAUGGCGGAGUAACGGCCCACCAUGGCUUCGACGGGUAGCCGGCCUGAGAGGGCGACCGGCCACAUUGGGACUGAGAUACGGCCCAGACUCCUACGGGAGGCAGCAGUGGGGAAUAUUGCACAAUGGGCGCAAGCCUGAUGCAGCGACGCCGCGUGCGGGAUGACGGCCUUCGGGUUGUAAACCGCUUUUGACUGGGAGCAAGCCCUUCGGGGUGAGUGUACCUUUCGAAUAAGCACCGGCUAACUACGUGCCAGCAGCCGCGGUAAUACGUAGGGUGCAAGCGUUAUCCGGAAUUAUUGGGCGUAAAGGGCUCGUAGGCGGUUCGUCGCGUCCGGUGUGAAAGUCCAUCGCUUAACGGUGGAUCCGCGCCGGGUACGGGCGGG